UUACAUCAUUAAAAGUUAUAAAAGGAACGAAAUAAGUCACAGAAGUUUUUAUUGUUUUAAAAGUUAGAAGUUGUGAACAGUUUAAUGUUCAAAUUAAUUUACAGAUUCUUCUUGUAGUUAAUUUAAAGCUUAGUCAAGAUUUAAAAAAAGUUAAAAAAGUUUUUUUUAAAUGUUAAUAUUAUUAUUGUGAAUAUUAUAAUGGUAACAUAAGUGACGUGUUAUAUCACACACACAAAUUAAGCGAUUGAAUUCAGUUGAUCGGCCGAUAGAAAUUGAGUGGUAUAAUAAAGAUAAAAUAUUUAAAAGCUAGCGUCCUUGCCGAAUAUGGUAAGACCGGCACUUGUCCAUUUCAGCAGUGAAGAGCUCAACGCUAAUAAUAAUAACAACAAUCGUUCUUUAUGGGCUAUUAUUCAAUAUCGUCGAUAGACGGAUAACAUGAAUUCAAUUAUAAAGUAUAAAUACAAAUAAAAAAAAUUCUGUAAUAUUAAUAACGCGAUAAGAUAAAACCUGUCUGAAUAAAUUCAAAAGUGCAUCAUCAUCACAGUUAUAAGAUAGAGGUAAUCUUCUGGGAGACAAGAUGCAGAGCCACUGAUGCAGUCCUGUCUAGUUUCUUCCGUGUCUGGAUACACUCGAGAAACAAACAACGAAUUUCAUUAUAAUACCUAACCGUUUCUCGACUAAUGUAAUGCAAUAUAUAAUAAUGUUAUGUGUAUAUAUGUAUGAAUGUAGAAGCAGAGAUACUUUGCUUAAGCUUAUGCUUAUAGUUAUGCUAUACUUGUACUUGUAUAUUGGAACUCAUCGACCAAGGUGUAUCUCACAUAUUGCCCAUGAGCUGUUUCCUCGUGGGCGGCAUACAGGUGCCUCCGGGCACUUCGACCGUCUCAAGUAGAUAUGUUUAAGUACGGCCCACGCAUUCUGACAUACGCACUUGUCAGUGGCGUACAAAUAUCGGGAGAUGUUAGACGGGCCCAUACCCGUUAUUAAUGCACUUAUCAUGUUAUUUGCUCUCAAAUUAACUACUGAUUUACUGAAUCACCUUUCUAUUACAAGUAUACCAGUCUACGAGACUACAAGACUGCUAUUUUUUAUUUUUACUUUUAUU